rnacentral:rRNA from 1 species
CACGUAGGGGGCAAGCGUUGUCCGGAUUUAUUGGGCGUAAAGAGCUCGUAGGUGGUUCGGUAAGUCGGGUGUUAAACCCCCAGGCUCAACCUGGGGACGCCACUCGAUACUGCUGUGACUAGAGUCCGGUAGGGGAGCGUGGAAUUCCUGGUGUAGCGGUGAGAUGCGCAGAUAUCAGGAGGAACACCAGCGGCGAAGGCGGCGCUCUGGGCCGGUACUGACACUGAGGAGCGAAAGCGUGGGUAGCAAACAGG